rnacentral:lncRNA from 1 species
AUGCCAGCCUCUGUCUCUCACACGGUGAACUUCACUAGAACUUUGGGUGCUAGUUUGGGGCAGCUGCAGCUUCAUCUUCAUCUUUGGUUUUGCUGACAUAGCAGAAGCUCAGGCCACCACAUAUCCUUCUGAAGGUGAUCUUGCUUAUAACUAUUAGCUUUGUUUUAUCUUAAUUGUAACAGCUAGCUAUAAUGUGAAUAUGUGAUGAUGAUUUAUAAUAUGCAUGGUGUCCAUGUGAUUCAUUAGGGCUAUGAAAGAGUGGGGAUAUUUGCUUUAAGAGUCAUCGUAACUGGCUGCUUGACU